UAAAAUAUUCACGGGUUUAAUAAGAUUGAAAUUCAUAAUUUACCCAUCAGAAUGAAGACAUUCUCUCUCGACUGCCUACAAACAAAUGUUUGAUUUAUAAAUUAUUGCAGCCCGAAAUUUUGUGACCAAUGCGGAGUCGAAUUUGUUGAUCCUCAGAUUUGAAGAUAUCAAAUGGGCUACAUCAAACUCGCAUGCCCAGUAACUCAUGUGUGAUUCGGAAUGAGAAACUGUCAUCCCAGUCAAUCCAGUUGGGAUGCCCUGGAUCAAUCACUUGUGCAAUUCAUUCCAUGGAGUAGAAGCUUGUUUCAUAAAACAAGGCAUUGCUUUGAUCACCAGCCAACCAGCAUCCUGAUGCUCUCACUCCAACAACCAAUGUGAAAUAACAAUAAGCCACUACUGCAUUCUGUUGUACAAGCGAGGAACUUCCUGUAUUACAUACAAGAUCCAACCUUUGUAGUGCAUAAACUAAAUCUAAUCAAAUGUAAUCAUCAAUCGCUCCAGAGCGAAAACUCAACCUAGUUCUGGAGAAACAAUAGAUGAUAAUUCAGAUUUUGGUAUGUUCUGAGUCAAAAGAACAUUGUUGCUUGUUCUUCACAGGAAAGAUCCUAACCAUGUAAUGUCUGCUGUAUGCUUCGCAUUUGGAAUGAAGAAGACCAUCACUCGUACAUUUCAGGCUUCAAGACACCAACAUAUGGCAAGUUCCUGUAAACCUCAGCAAAAUCUAGCCCA